UUAAACGGCCGCGGUAUUUUGACCGUGCAAAGGUAGCGCAAUCACUUGUCUUUUAAAUGAAGACCUGUAUGAAUGGUGAAACGAGGGCUUAACUGUCUCCCUCAUCUAGUCAAUGAAAUUGAUCUACCCGUGCAGAAGCGGGUAUUUACAUACAAGACGAGAAGACCCUUUGGAGCUUAAGACUAAAGACCAACUAUGUCAAAAAGAAAGGGCCUAAACCAAAUAGCACUGGUCCCAGUCUUCGGUUGGGGCGACCACGGGAAAAAACACAACUCCCAUGUAGACAGGGACCCCCUUAAAACUAAGAAAGACAUUUUUAAGGCACAGAACAUCUGACUUCAAAGAUCCGGCCACACGCCGAUCAACGGACCAAGUUACCCUAGGGAUAACAGCGCAAUCCCCUUCCAGAGUCCAUAUCGACAAGGGGGUUUACGACCUCGAUGUUGGAUCAGGACAUCCUAAUGGUGCAGCCGCUAUUAAGGGUUCGUUUG
rnacentral:rRNA from 1 species